rnacentral:guide_RNA from 1 species
AUCAAUGCUAAACUGGGUGAUUUAGAGCGUUUAUAGUGAUAU